AAAAAUGAAGAUCACAGAGUUGUCCCUAAGAUGAAGGGAGAGAAUGAGGCGGCGGGCUGACACAAGUCUAUAGCUGUCGAGGGCUCAGUCAGUAUCAGCGAUUGUACCUGAAGCCACAGUGAGCUGCGCAGAUGUUUUUUCUUCCUUUCCAUAAAAGGAGGGGUCCUUGUAGCUGAGUGAAAACAUGAUGUCCCCUUUCUGCACAGGUUCUGAUCCGUUUCCAUAUCCAGAGGAAUGUGAUUGUGAUCCCCAAGUCUGUGACACCGGCACGCAUUGUUGAGAACAUUCAGGUAAGAUCCCGGCUGGUCGGCCCUGGUAUUCUUCAGGGGAGGGGGACACAGACAGACCCUGUCACUAGGCUUCUCACCUCAUCCCUGCACUGUCUUCUGCCCCCUCUGUUCCCACCACCCUAUCAUUUUCCAGCCCAGGGAUCUAGGCUCAGUAUACCUGAGAUGAAUGACCCAUGGGCUUAGGACAUGCUGGGGACGGUGCCUGCUGAAGCCUUGUCAGGUCUGAGCACAGCUGUGCCUCGCACCACUGAGAAGACCCUCAGUUGCCCCUGAGCAGCUAAGCCCUGGGCCACCACAUGAGCAGACUGUCCUGGCCUCCCUGCUCAUCUUCUGGCAGCAGAGGAGGUGUGAACUGUCCUUGGAGAACUGUCUUCUAGAAGGGCGCAUCAUGGAGCACAGGGCCUGUGCACACCUGGAGCUUAGUGCCUGUGAACCUGUUCUCCCUCCCCCGGAACACUGAGCACUACAAAUACUGCGGUCUUUGUGUAGGACCUAAUUUAGAGAAAAAUUUGUAUCCUGUGGAUAUAAUUGGAAAAACACCUGUGACCAGUUUGUGCUGCUAGAACUUCCUGCUAGAAUGAGCGGCAGUCUCCAGUCACAGCAGUAACGGCCUUACUGAUGAUGUACUGGAACUCCUAUCUUUCCAGGUCUUUGACUUUAAAUUGAGUGAUGACGAGAUGGCAACCAUUCUCACCUUCAACAGAAACUGGAGGGCCUGCAACAUGUUGCAAUCCUCUCAUUUGGAGGACUAUCCCUUCGAUGCAGAAUAUUGAGGUUGAAUCUCCUGGUGACAUUACACAGGGGAUUGUCUUUCUUCGCUGAAGUGUGACUAUCUCCAUCAAGUCCUAUUUUAGCCACGCUUAUCUGAGAUCACAGUGAACUUCAUCCUGUUGUAGACCAGAAUCGAGGUGCUGUUUUAGACAUUUAUUUCUGUAUAUUCAACUAGGAUCAGAAUAUCACAGAAAAACAUGGCUUGAAUAAGCAAAUGACAAUUUUUUCCACUUAUCUGAUCUGAACAAAUGUUUGUUAAGCACAAGAACUCUGCCAACACUGAGGAUGUAAAGAUUAAUAAUAAAAAAAUAAGGAUCGUAACCAACAUGGAUUGAGAGUGGACUAUGUUCCCACACAAUGUGAAGUGUUUUCCUGUGGGUGAAGUUACUGAAUCCUCAAAAUAACCCCACUGAGGUAGGUACUAUUAACAUCUUAGGAGGGAGAGAGGAGGAACUUGUUCAAGACCCCCAGGUAAUAAGUGACUGAACCAAGUUUAAAGGCAGGCAGGCUCU
ensembl:lncRNA